AUUGAACGCUGGCGGCAGGCCUAACACAUGCAAGUCGAACGAGUGGCGGACGGGUGAGUAAUGUCUGGGAAACUGCACGAUGGAGGGGGAUAACUACUGGAAACGGUAGCUAAUACCGCAUACCAUCUGAUGUGCCAAGAUGGGAUUAGCUAGUAGGUGGGGUAACGGCUCACCUAGGCGACAAUCCCUAGGUGGUCUGAGAGGAUGACCAGCCACACUGGAACUGAGACACGGUCCAGACUCCUACGGGAGGCAGCAGGGGGGAAUAUUGCACAAUGGGCGCAAGCCUGAUGCAGCCAUGCCGCGUGUAUGAAGAAGGCCUUCGGGUUGUAAAGUACUUUCAGCGAGGAGGCGUUACUCGCAGAAGAAGCACCGGCUAACUCCGUGCCAGCAGCCGCGGUAAUUC
rnacentral:rRNA from 1 species